AGCGAACGCUGGCGGCAGGCCUAACACAUGCAAGUCGAACGAAGUCUUCGGACUCAGUGGCGGACGGGUGAGUAACACGUGGGAAAGUGCCUUUAGGUUCGGAAUAACUCAGGGAAACUUGUGCUAAUACCGAAUGUGCCCUUCGGGGGAAAGAUUUAUCGCCUUUAGAGCGGCCCGCGUCUGAUUAGCUAGUUGGUGAGGUAAAGGAUCACCAAGGCUACGAUCAGUAGCUGGUCUGAGAGGAUGACCAGCCACAUUGGGACUGAGACACGGCCCAAACUCCUACGGGAGGCAGCAGUGGGAAAUCUGGCGCACUGGGCGAAAGCCUGACGCAGCCAUGCCGCGUGGAUGAUGAAGGUCUUAGGAUUGUAAAAUCCUUUCACCGGUGAAGAUAAUGACUGUAGCCGGAGAAGAAGCCCCGGCUAACUUCGUGCCAGCCGCCGCGGUAACAC
rnacentral:rRNA from 1 species